rnacentral:rRNA from 1 species
UACGGAGGGUGCGAGCGUUGUCCGGAAUCAUUGGGCGUAAAGGGCGCGUAGGUGGCGGCUUAAGCGUGCGGUGAAAGCUCGGGGCUCAACCCCGAGUCGGCCGUGCGAACUGAGUCGCUUGAGCACUGUAGAGGCAGGCGGAAUUCCGGGUGUAGCGGUGGAAUGCGUAGAGAUCCGGAAGAACACCGGUGGCGAAGGCGGCCUGCUGGGCAGUAGCUGGCACUGAGGCGCGACAGCGUGGGGAGCAAACAGG